rnacentral:misc_RNA from 1 species
GAUGAAGAACGCAGCGAAAUGCGAUAAGUAAUGUGAAUUGCAGAAUUCCGUGAAUCAUCGAAUCUUUGAACGCACAUUGCGCCCCCUGGCAUUCCGGGGGGCAUGCCUGUCCGAGCGUCAUUUCUGCCCUCCAGCCCGGCUGGGUGUUGGGCGCUGUCCCCCCGGGGACACGCCCCAAAGGCAGUGGCGGCGCCGCGUCGGGUCCUCGAGCGUAUGGGGCUUUGUCACCCGCUCGGGACGGACUCGUCGGCGCUGGUCUUCCUCCAGGCGACCCUUCGGGGCUCGUCUUCCUUCGGUUGACCUCGGAUCAGGUAGGGUUACCCGCUGAACUUAAGCAUAUCAUAAGCGGAGGA